rnacentral:rRNA from 1 species
AGCGAACGCUGGCGGCAUGCUUAACACAUGCAAGUCGAACGGGGGUGUUUUUUUAGCACUCUAGUGGCGGACGGGUGAGUAACGCGUAGGGAUCUGUCCAUAGGUGGGGGAUAACAUUGGGAAACUGGUGCUAAUACCGCAUACUUACCUGAGGGUUAAAGGCGUGAGUUGCCUGUGGAAGAGCCCGCGUCCGAUUAGCUAGUUG